GACGAACGCUGGCGGCGUGCUUAACACAUGCAAGUCGACAUGAGUGGCGAACGGGUGAGUAAUACGUGGGUAACCUGCCCUCCUUUUUGGGAUAAGCCUUGGAAACGGGGUCUAAUCCCUAAUAGAGUGGGAUGGGCUCGCGGCCUCUCAGCUUGUUGGUGGGGUUAUGGCCUACCAAGGCGGCGACGGGUAGCCGGCCUGAGAGGUGGACCGGCAACAUUGGGACUGGGAUACGGCGCAGGAGGCUACGAGAGGCAGCAUGGGGGGAUAUUGCAAAAUGGGCGAAAGCCUGAUGCAGCGACGCCGAGUGGGGGAUGAAGGCUUAAGGGUUGUAAACCGCGUAGGCUAUCGAACGGGUAGGUGGAGAAGAAGCGCCGGCUAACUACGUGCCAGCCGCCGCGGUAAUAC
rnacentral:rRNA from 1 species